GAUGAAGAACGUAGCGAAAUGCGAUACGUAAUGUGAAUUGCAGAAUUCAGUGAAUCAUCGAGUCUUUGAACGCACAUUGCGCCCCCUGGUAUUCCGGGGGGCAUGCCUGUCCGAGCGUCGUUGCUGCCCUCAAGCACGGCUUGUGUGUUGGGCCUCCGUCCUCCUCCCGGGGGACGGGCCCGAAAGGCAGCGGCGGCACCGCGUCCGGUCCUCGAGCGUAUGGGGCUUCGUCACCCGCUCUUGUAGGCCCGGCCGGCGCUUGCCGACACAUCAAUCUUUUUUCCAGGUUGACCUCGGAUCAGGUAGGGAUACCCGCUGAACUUAAGCAUAUCAAUAAGCGGAGGA
rnacentral:misc_RNA from 1 species